GAAAGACGAUCGAACCAAUCAGAGUAGGUAUGGGGCGGGGUUUCACGUGCAACCCCGCCCCAGGUGCAGCCCCGCCUCGAUCUGCAGGCUGCAGCCGGGUGUAGUUGGACUAACGUGACUGCAUAGAUUUAGUUUUUUCUAGUUGAGCUGAGCUUGUAAGCAAUGAAAAGCUUAUUGAAGUAUCAAAGCAGGACACACAGGGGUUGCAAGGUUAUUAUCCCUAUGACUAUUUUAUGCACCCACCCUUCUGUAAUAACGAGAGGAAAUGAGUAGUUCCAAAAGGUUCAAAUCAAAAUGGGAGAAACAAAUGGUUUGCAGUGUAUUUAUUUUAAGUCUAGUGUCUUUCAGCUUUUUCUAGACACCCCCUGUCCCAUUUCAUUGGGGUUUGAACAUAAUAAAAAAUAUGAAAACAAAUGCCUUGUGCAUCAGGUUUCUAAUGAAAUUAAUUUAUUCAUAUUCAUGUUUGUUUUCAGAUUAUGCCCAAAUCAAAGUCCCAUAAGACUAUGAGAGACGAGGCGUGGAUGUCCCGCCUGCAGCAGUUUGCAUCCUCAGGGAAUUGGCCUUCUGAUGCUGGAAACAGACCUGCUCCCUGUCAGAGGAAAUGGUAUGACCUCUUUCAGCAGAUAAAGAAAUGCCCGAUGCAGAUUCCUGGACAGCCAUCGGUGAACUGCUUAUGUGGAUUCCAUUCGCACCGGGAUGAAGAUGAUGAUGCUGCCCCUCCUGCAGCUGAUUCGGACUCCGCUCAUGAUCCUGGUCCGGUUCAGUUUUGGCUUCCAGAUGAGAUGACAGAAACAAUCCCGUCAGAAGAUCAGAGGUGGAUCGCAACAGAGCUCUUUCACGGUGACAAACUUCGUCCAGAUGUGGAAAUGUGGUACAAUCCGCCGGUCCCACCCCUGAUCUCCAUCCAGGCUCCAUCUCCAGAGCAUUUCCUCAAUCACAGCCUUCUGGUAUGGAUGCCCAACCACUUGUGGAAGGUCAAGGUGCUUUGUUCAGUCUGCGGCAAACAGCUCAUUCACCACAAUGUCGACAAGAGAGUGUGAAAGGUCCUGGACAUUGACAGCUACUAUCUUAUGAUGACGGAGACGCUCCAGUGUACUUCAUGCCAGCUAAACUAUCUGUCCUUCAGCCAGACUGUACUGAACCAGCUGGACUUACCUUGCCGUCAGUUGUUCCGACUGGUUUUGACAGAGCAGUGAGUUACAAUCUAACAUCAUGACUGAUAUAAUAACACAGCCAUGCAUCUUGAAGAAAAAAAUCUGAUGCAAAAAAGGCCUAAAAUUACCUAGUUUAAUGAUGCUGAGUUCAAAAAUAUCAAUAAAACUUUACAUCACAUACUGUUUCA
ensembl:lncRNA